GAUGAACGCUAGCGGCAGGCUUAAUACAUGCAAGUCGUGGGGCAGCAUAAGUAGCAAUACUUGAUGGCGACCGGCAAACGGGUGCGGAACACGUACGCAAUCUUCCUUCAGGCGGGGAAUAGCCCAGAGAAAUUUGGAUUAAUACCCCAUAAUAUUUUGAGAUGGCAUCAUCUUAUUAUUAAAGCUUCGGCACCUGAUGAUGAGCGUGCGCCUGAUUAGGUAGUUGGCGGGGUAACGGCCCACCAAGCCUACGAUCAGUAGCUGAUGUGAGAGCAUGAUCAGCCACACGGGCACUGAGACACGGGCCCGACUCCUACGGGAGGCAGCAGUAAGGAAUAUUGGUCAAUGGACGAAAGUCUGAACCAGCCAUGCCGCGUGGAGGAUGAAGGUCCUCUGGAUUGUAAACUUCUUUUAUUUGGGACGAAAAAAGAUUUUUCUAAAUCACUUGACGGUACCAGAUGAAUAAGCACCGGCUAACUCCGUG
rnacentral:rRNA from 1 species